CUGCACAGCAGGUGUUCCUGUGUCCCUGCCCUUGAACAGAGCAGACUGUCUCGGGGAAGCCGCUUUCUUGGAGAAACGCAAUUUCUUUAGCUUCCCAGUCAUCUUUGGUUCCCUGGUCACAUCAGCUUUUCCAGGGAGCUUACUGCUGCCCUGGAGCCUGGAGGACGCUUGGACCUUCGUGAUGGAAGAAAACCCCACCUUUGCCCUUGAGAUCCAGGCCAGCCUCAAGAUGGCCAAGAAAAUGAUCUGCAAUUAGUGAGACAGGCUCAGAACUGCUGAUAGCUCAUGGUGUCUGCGCCAAGCCAGCGCUGAGAAUGGUGGACCAGCAGAGCUGUAUUACCAGCACCACAAGGCCUCCAGAGAGGCCCAAGGAGCAGAAGGUGAGGAGUGGAGAAUGCACAGAUCACUUACCUGUUCCAGCCUGGGGGAUUGAAUUGGAGAAUUUCUUGAACUUGGCAAUGAAGAAACCAUCCAUAUUGUGGGUGUGAGGGUAGAAACGCCGAGUGGAGCGCAGAGUGGGGUGAAACCGUCUUUCUCGAAAACGGGGGGACAGACGCAGCCAGCAAGGAGUCACUGGAGCUGAAGCUGUGAACAGCCCGGGCCGCACCUCCCACCUCGCCCUCCCCUGCGCUGACUCAGCACUGGCCUCACCAUGACAGAGCAGGUGCAGUACACGAGGUAGCCACCCGUCUUGGAGGUGGCGUUGACAGAGUCGAUGGCGCUGAGGAGCAGCUCUUUCUGCAGGUGGGCACAGCGCAGGACGUCCUUCUCAUCCUGUCCCAAGGAGAACCCAUGACUUCAUCUGCCCCAGAGCUCUUCUCUGCCUCACACCCCCAGCCCAAGCCCCCCCAACAGCUGUCCCCCCAUCCACACCUUAUUCGUCUUCACAGCGGGGUCCUUGGAGAUGAUCCCAGUGCCACUGCAGGGAGCAUCCAACAGGACACGGUCAAAGCCACCUACUACCUGUGGAAAGGGGAAGGUCAGCCCCAUCGCUACUGCCACCUGCAGAGCAGCACUUUACUGCAGUCACAGGGGAACGUCCCACCUUAGGGAACUGGCGCCCAUCGUAAUGGCUGAUAAUGGCGUUGGUGACUCCCAGCCGGUGCAGGUUGCCCACAACGCUCUUGAGUCGCUCGGCAUUGGCAUCGUUGGCAAGGAUCACACCCGUGUUCUUCAUCAGCUGGGCUGGAGGGAGACGCCAGAGCUGAGCGCCAGAGCUGAGCAACCUACCCCCGGGCUCACCACCUCCAGCCCAGGAGCCCACAGGCGAAGUCACCUCCCUGCAGCACAACUUCACCCCAACAAGCCCUGCUCCCUCCUGCACAGGUCUGCCGGCCUGCUCCAACCCACUCACUUGUGAACAUCCUUCUGGCCGCACAGACUAAAUCACUGCUGUUAAGUGACACCACCUCAUAAAACCAUUCACUGCUUAUUAUGUAUUCGACACUGUGCCAAGGACAACAGUUUUGGGUCUGUUUUUUGGAGAUAGGGUUUCACUGUAGCUCAGGCUGGCCUUAAAUUUGCUGUGUGGCCCAGGCGGGCCUCAAACCCAGUGACACUCCUGCCUCAGCCUCCUGAGUGCUGGUAUUACAAGUGUGUGUGACCACACCCAGUUGGUUCCAAGGACUUCUAAACACAGUGUCAAUCCGCACAACCCUCGUGUAACCUAACAGCCAGCUCAGCACAGCUCCAACCCCACUUCAGGGAUAAAAGAGAAUGAGAGGCGCACACGGGUCAGAUGGGUAGUAAGUGGCACAGCUGGCCCUGGAGCCCAGACCAACUCCAGAAACUGCUCCGAUAUUACCGCUCUGCCAGCUGACUGGUGCUCACGGAGAGCGCCAUCAGCACUAGGCAUCACCAACCCCCGCUACUUUCAAAGGCAGAGAGCCAGAAGAAGGCCACCCUGUCUGUGCGCCUACCUAUGUAGCUGGUUUUCCCUCCAGGUGCACAGCACAUGUCCAGGAUCCACUCGUGUUCCUGGGGUGCCAAGGCCAUGACAGGCAGCAUGCUGGAGGCUCCCUGCAGCAUGUAGUGCCCGGCCAGGUACUCAGGAGUGGCCCCUGUGGGGGGAAGGCCACUCUGUGACAUGCUGGUGGAAUAAGGACACGGAGCGGAGGGCUACUGGGCAGGCGACACUUACCAAUAGGCACCGAAGAAUCAUACACCACAAGUCCAGUCUUGGACCACUUGCCCAAGGGAUCCAGGUUAACCCCACGAUUGAUCAGUGCCUGGGGGAGGGAGAUUGGAAAGCCUCAUAGGACACGCGACCCAGGAGCUGGGGGAGACCCGAAACCAGGCCCACCAGCAACCCCACGACACCCCACUCCCAGUGCCCGCCCAGAACAGCCACCCCGGACUUCCCCCUCCUCACCUGGCCUGUGAUACCCUCUUUCCCAUCCCCUUUCUGCAGUGCUAGAGCUGGAAUCCAGGGCCCCGUGCGUCCUAGGCAAGCGCCCUACCGCUGAGCCACUCUUAGGCCCUGCCCUUUCUUCUCAACCUCAGGCUCUUGACUCAAGAUCUAAGUCCUACCCCAAAGGAUCAAAAUGCCCUGUCCUGUUUUUUCAUUUUCUGG